rnacentral:lncRNA from 1 species
UCUCCCCAAGAGUAAGGUGGGAAGUUCUUGGAGGGAAGGAUGCCGGGGGUCUAUUUGGAAACAACCUCUCUACCCAAGGGUAGGGGUAGGUUUGUGUACACACUACCCUCCCCAGACCCCACUAAGUGGGAUUAUACUGGGUUGUUGUUGUUGUUGUUGUUGCUUUGUGUGAUCUGUGAAUUUAGGAAGUACUUUCGCUUUUAUCUUCUGAAUGAUAGUAUCACUUUGUAUGGGUAAUUCAAACAUAAGAACAUAGUUCUAACUGAAGGUGAAAUACUUAAAUGUGCUACGUUGAAUAUUGGAGGACCAAAACCUUAAUAGAGGAUUAUUUAGGGACUGAAAUUCUAUUUGCAUUGCAGUGUGAUGUAUUCUGAAUCUGCUUAAGUAUGUGGAUGAGUAUAUGUGUGUGAUCCAUGAAUUUGUGAAGUUACUUCUCUUAUUCAUCUUCUGAAUGAUAGUUCCAGUUAAUAUGUACAACAGCGCAAGUGGAACAUAAUUGAACGUUUGGUUUUAUUGAAAUUAAAUGUGAAAAAAUUGAAUAACAUAGGGACAAAUGGAAUAAAACAAUAAAUUAGGGACUAAAACCUCUUUUUCCCCUUUUAACUUUGUUGGUUCUCUAUAAUUGUUGAUGCACUUUGUUAGCUGUGGUUCCCGUUCUUUCUCUUUGCCUCCGAAGAUUUGAAGCAUGAGUAUGAUUCUACUCCUCUUUUCCUUCUCUUUUUGAUAGUUUAUCAAAGAUCUGUUGAGUGAGUUUUGAUUCAUAGAUUAAUGUAGUGUUGUUUUCUCUUUUUUGAUAAACGCGAAAUUCCGGAGGCCAGUGGCACAUGGUUCAGAACUCCUUGGAUAAUGUGCCUGCAUCUCUACCCUUCUUCACUUAAGAUAUUGCUCAUCUGCAGCUGGAUUCAAACCCGUGAUAUGUGCCUAGCCCACAUAUGCGCUGCACUCUUACCACUUGUCCUAGGGGGUUGGGGGUGGGGGGCAUAUGUCUUCUUUAAUUUAGUUUGGUUUCUUCUUUAAUUUUGUCCAUUAUUGAAUUUAUUAUAGAAAUCAGGGCAUAUUGCUAAUAUUGCAUUAUCAGAAGCCUCAAUUUUGGUGUCUAAAUAACGUACUUUUGGGGCCACAUAUUUGUUAACUUUGCAUGAUCAUGGCAUAUAAUGGGUAGUUUCUGUUAUGUUAUCUGUUUUUUAAACUUCUAAACUGUGAAGGCUGCUUUCCUGUUGUCCAUUUUUGCGACACUUUAUUGUCUUGGUUUACUGGUAACAUUUCUUAGAGUAUAUGUUGCUUUACGCAUGCAUAAUGCAAAUCGAUUGAGAACUAUUUCCUUUUGUGUAUUUAAAUUCUUGUUACUGCAGGAGAUGAUUACAAGAUUAAGGUUUGGAACUAUAAGCUGCAUCGCUGCCUGUUUACCCUACUAGGACAUCUUGAUUAUAUCCGAACUGUUCAAUUUCACCAUGAAUAUCCCUGGAUUGUUAGUGCAAGUGACGACCAGACCAUCCGGAUAUGGAACUGGCAGUCUCGUACUUGUAUAUCCGUCUUGACUGGCCACAAUCAUUAUGUAAUGUGCGCCUCAUUUCAUCACAAAGAGGACUUGGUUGUCUCUGCUUCUUUGGAUCAGACAGUUCGUGUCUGGGAUAUUGGUGCUCUAAGAAAGAAAACCGUUUCUCCUGCUGAUGAUAUCUUGCGGUUAAGUCAGAUGAAUACUGAUUUCUUUGGUGGAGUGGAUGCUGUGGUGAAGUAUGUCUUGGAGGGUCAUGAUAGAGGGGUUAACUGGGCAUCGUUUCAUCCUACACUCCCCCUUAUAGUUUCUGGUGCAGAUGAUCGCCAAGUGAAAAUUUGGCGCAUGAAUGGUAUGCUCCUGAAAUUCUUGAUGUACUUGAUUGCCAUCUUUACUUGCUUUAUUCCACAUUCACUUUUCGUGUCUCGUCACCUGUGGAACCUAGAACACCAAAAUAAGUUCAUUUGAUGAAACGAUACAUUGCAAACUUCAUGCUAUUUGCAUAUUUUUCAGUUAUACAUCAGUCUAGCUGCAAGACAACUUUUGUGCUGUCCACUUGUCCCUUAGAAGUAGGAGUAUGUUAUAUGUCUUCCUUUCAGCUUAUAUUCAGAAAUCAUCCAUUAGGAUUUCCCUAAUCACUGGAAAUUGGUUGUUAACUUGAAAAUCUGAGAUGGUGAUAUCGCUACUAUAGUAUAUUAAUGUUGUUACCUGCAUCUUUCUGUACCGUGUACAUCUGAAGAUGUUACAAUGAAAAGCUGCAUUCUGUUCAUCCCCCCUCUGUCCUUUUUUUUUGUGGUGUGCGUGUGUGUGUGUGUGUGUGGGGGGGGGGGGGUUAAAACCUUUNNNNNNNNNNNNNNNNNNNNNNNNNNNNNNNNNNNNNNNNNNNNNNNNNNNNNNNNNNNNGGGGGGGGGGGGGGUUAAAACCUUUCUGAAGCUUGCUUGAAGCUGACUUGAGUUGUACUGCAGUUCAGUGUCUUACUAUCUAUAAUGAGGCAAAAGUUUCCCCCUCCCCGGAAGAACCAUAUUUUUAACUUUAAAUACUCCUUUAGAGCAAGAAUGGUUUUUUUCCAACUUGAAGCAAUAACUGGAUUAAAGUUGCUGGUUCAGCUUGUAAAACUAUUUAAGGGUUUAAAACCUUUCUGACGCUUGCUUGAAGCUGAUUUGAGUUGUACUGCAGUUCAGUGUCUUACUAUCUAUAAUGAGGCAAAAGUUUCCCCCUCCCUGGAAGAACCAUAUUUUUAACUUUAAAUACUCCUUCAGAGCAAGAAUGGUUUUUUUCCAACUUGAAGCAAUAACUGGAUUAAAGUUGCUGGUUCAGCUUGUAAAACUAUUUAUUCUUGGUAGCAGAAUUGUUGAACGGAGUCUUGCUGGUUGAAAAACUGCUUAUUUUGUUGAAGGAAUCUUACAUUUUAAGUAUUUUCUGAUUGCUAGUGUGCCUUGUUGUUCCUAGAUACAAAGGCUUGGGAGGUGGACACAUUGAGAGGCCACAUGAACAAUGUUUCAUGUGUUUUGUUUCAUCCAAGGCAAGAUAUUAUUGUUUCAAAUUCAGAGGAUAAGAGCAUUCGAGUAUGGGAUGCUACAAAAAGGACUGGUCUUCAGACUUUCCGCAGGGAGCAUGAUAGGUUUUGGAUCCUUGCAUGUCAUCCUGAGAUGAAUCUUCUAGCGGCUGGUCAUGAUAGUGGGAUGAUAGUAUUCAAGCUGGAGAGAGAACGUCCUGCUUUUUCUGUGAGUAGUGAUUCUUUGUUUUAUGUAAAGGAUCGAUUUCUCCGAGUGUAUGAGUAUUCAACUCAGAAGGACACACAGUUGAUACCAAUUAGAAGGCCCGGUUCAAACAGUGUGAACCAAGGUCCACGAACACUUUCAUAUAGUCCUACAGAAAAUGCUAUAUUGAUAUGUUCAGACACGGAUGGUGGUUCCUAUGAACUUUAUGUUGUACCUAAAGAUAGUUAUGGUAGGGGUGAUACUGUUCAAGAUGCA